rnacentral:rRNA from 1 species
UACGUAGGGGGCAAGCGUUGUCCGGAUUUAUUGGGCGUAAAGAGCGUGUAGGCGGCCUUGCAAGUCCGUUGUGAAAACUCGAGGCUCAACCUCGAGACGCCGGUGGAAACUGCAAAGCUAGAGUCCGGAAGAGGAGAGUGGAAUUCCUGGUGUAGCGGUGAAAUGCGCAGAUAUCAGGAAGAACACCCGUGGCUAAGGCGGCUCUCUAGUACGGUACUGACGCUGAGACGCGAAAGCGUGGGGAGCGAACAGG